rnacentral:rRNA from 1 species
CAGUCGCCUGUUUAUCAAAAACAUUGCGUCUAGUAAAAUAUUAGAGGUAUGUCCUGCCCGGUGAAGUUUUAACGGCUGCAGUAUCCUGACUGUACUAAGGUAGCGUAAUCCUUUGCCUUCUAAUUAAAGGCUAGUAUGAAUGGAUUAACAGUGUUUCUCUUUAUUUUUUUUAUAGGUGGAAAUUUAUAUUCAAGUGCAAAAGCUUGAAUUCUUUAGAAAGACAAGAAGACCCUAUAGAGCUUUACUGCGUAGGCUUUAAUUUGGUUGGGGCAAUUGAAAAUUUGAAGCAUCUUUUUAUAUUGAGGCUAUUAGCCUAUUAAAUGAUCCAUACGACCAAGAGAUAAGCUACCUUAGGGUUAACAGGCUAAUCCCUCUUGAGAGACCGCAUUAACGGAGGGGGUUGGCACCUCGAUGUUGGCUUAGGAUCGCCUGCUGGUGCAGCAGCUAGUUAGGUGGGUUUGUUCACCCCUUAAAUUCCUACGUGAUCUGAGUCAGACCGGGU